rnacentral:rRNA from 1 species
UAUGUAGGGAGCGAGCGUUGUCCGGAUUUACUGGGUGUAAAGGGUGCGCAGGCGGCUCUGCAAGUCAGGCGUGAAAGCUAGGGGCUCAACCCCUAAACUGCGCUUGAAACUGUGGAGCUUGAGUGAAGUAGAGGCAGGCGGAAUUCCCGGUGUAGCGGUGAAAUGCGUAGAGAUCGGGAGGAACACCAGUGGCGAAGGCGGCCUGCUGGGCUUUAACUGACGCUCAGGCACGUAAGCAUGGGUAGCAAACAGG